UACAGAGGGUGCGAGCGUUGUUCGGAAUUAUUGGGCGUAAAGCGCAUGUAGGCGGGAGUGUAAGUCGCGUGUGAAAGCCCCAGGCUCAACCUGGGAAGUGCGCGCGAAACUGCGGUGCUUGAGUGUGGGAGAGGUGAGUGGAAUUCCCGGUGUAGCGGUGAAAUGCGUAGAUAUCGGGAAGAACACCUGUGGCGAAAGCGGCUCACUGGACCACAACUGACGCUGAGGCGCGAAAGCUAGGGGAGCAAACAGG
rnacentral:rRNA from 1 species